AUUGAACGCUGGCGGCAUGCCUUACACAUGCAAGUCGAACGGCAGCACGGGAGCAAUCCUGGUGGCGAGUGGCGAACGGGUGAGUAAUAUAUCGGAACGUGCCCAGUCGUGGGGAUAACGUAGCGAAAGCUACGCUAAUACCGCAUACGAUCUAUGGAUGAAAGCGGGGGAUCGCAAGACCUCGCGCGAUUGGAGCGGCCGAUAUCAGAUUAGGUAGUUGGUGAGGUAAAGGCUCACCAAGCCGACGAUCUGUAGCUGGUCUGAGAGGACGACCAGCCACACUGGGACUGAGACACGGCCCAGACUCCUACGGAGGCAGCAGUGGGGAAUUUUGGACAAUGGACGCAAGUCUGAUCCAGCCAUUCCGCGUGCAGGAUGAAGGCCCUCGGGUUGUAAACUGCUUUUGUACGGAACGAAAGGUUUCUAUUAAUACUGGGUAGCUCAUGACGGUACCGUAAGAAUAAGC
rnacentral:rRNA from 1 species